CUGCCUGCCCAGUGACACACGUUUAACGGCCGCGGUACCCUGACCGUGCAAAGGUAGCAUAAUCACUUGUUCUUUAAAUAGGGACUCGUAUGAAUGGCACCACGAGGGUUUAACUGUCUCUUACUUUCAACCAGUGAAAUUGACCUGUCCGUGAAGAGACGGACAUGAAACAAUAAGACGAGAAGACCCUGUGGAGCUUUAAUUUAUUAGUACAACUAAAAACCAUACAAACCAACAGGUCCUAAACCCCUACAUCUGUGCUAAAAAUUUUGGUUGGGGCGACCUCGGAGCACAACCAAACCUCCGAAUAAUCCACGCUAAGACUACACAAGUCAAAGCAAACUAACACUUACAAUUGACCCAAUAAUUUGAUCAACGGAACAAGUUACCCCAGGGAUAACAGCGCAAUUCUAUUCUAGAGUCCAUAUCAACAAUAGAGUUUACGACCUCGAUGUUGGAUCAGGACAUCCUAAUGGUGCAGCAGCUAUCAAG
rnacentral:rRNA from 1 species